AUUUGCCCUAGCUGGUUUGGCUCAAUGGAUAGAGGGUCGGCCUGCGGAUUGAAGGGCCCCAGGUUCGAUUCCGGUAAAGGGCAUGUACCUUGGUUGGGGACGCAUCUCCACUGGGGGGUGUACAGGCGGCAGCUGGUUGAUGUUUCUCUCUCAUCGAUGUUUCUGGCUUUCUAUCCCUCUCCCUUCCUCUCUGUAGAAAAUCAAUAAAAUAUAUAU